UGCUGUUAAUCUGAUGGUAUUUUUACCUAAUGUGAAUUUUAUUGACCAAUAUUCUGAUCCAACAACUGAUCCCUCCCUAGCACUGAAAGACUUGAUCUACUCUAUGAUAGAAAAACUUCACACGAACAACAAAUUAAAUGUUUCGUUUUUUGUUGCACUGAAUUCUUUACAGGAACAACUUUAAAAAUGUCUAAUGAUGCAAGCAAGAAGAAUAUUAUUCAAUUCAUAGUUUUUUUAUUU
rnacentral:lncRNA from 1 species